rnacentral:rRNA from 1 species
AUUCUGUGAGCAGGAAAGCAGGGGAUCGCAAGACCUUGCGCUGAUUGAGCGGCCGAUAUCAGAUUAGCUAGUUGGUGAGGUAAAAGCUCACCAAGGCGACGAUCUGUAGCGGGUCUGAGAGGAUGAUCCGCCACACUGGAACUGAGACACGGUCCAGACUCCUACGGGAGGCAGCAGUGGGGAAUUUUGGACAAUGGGGGCAACCCUGAUCCAGCCAUGCCGCGUGAGUGAAGAAGGCCUUCGGGUUGUAAAGCUCUUUCAGCCGGGAAGGAAAUGCAUGGGUUAAUACCCUGUGCAGAUGACGGUACCGGAAUAAGAAGCACCGGCUAACUACGUGCCAGCAGCCGCGGUAAUACGUAGGGUGCGAGCGUUAAUCGGAAUUACUGGGCGUAAAGCGUGCGCAGGCGGUUUUGUAAGACAGGCGUGAAAUCCCCGGGCUUAACCUGGGAACUGCGUUUGUGACUGCAAGGCUAGAGUACGGCAGAGGGGGGUGGAAUUCCACGUGUAGCAGUGUAAUGCGUAGAGAUGUGGAGGAACACCAAUGGCGAAGGCAGCCCCCUGGGUCGAUACUGACGCUCAUGCACGAAAGCGUGGGUAGCAAACAGGAUUAGAUACCCUGGUAGUCCACGCCCUAAACGAUGUCAACUAGGUGUUGGGAGGGUAAAACCUUUUAGUACCUUAGCUAACGCGAGAAGUUGACCGCCUGGGGAGUACGGCCGCAAGGUUAAAACUCAAAGGAAUUGACGGGGACCCGCACAAGCGGUGGAUGAUGUGGAUUAAUUCGAUGCAACGCGAAAAACCUUACCUACCCUUGACAUGUCAGGAACUUUCCAGAGAUGGAUUGGUGCCCGAAAGGGAACCUGAACACAGGUGCUGCAUGGCUGUCGUCAGCUCGUGUCGUGAGAUGUUGGGUUAAGUCCCGCAACGAGCGCAACCCUUGUCGUUAAUUGCCAUCAUUCAGUUGGGCACUUUAACGAGACUGCCGGUGACAAACCGGAGGAAGGUGGGGAUGACGUCAAGUCCUCAUGGCCCUUAUGGGUAGGGCUUCACACGUCAUACAAUGGUCGGUACAAAGGGUCGCCAACCCGCGAGGGGGAGCCAAUCCCAUAAGGCCGAUCGUAGUCCGGAUUGUAGGCUGCAACUCGCCUGCAUGAAGUCGGAAUCGCUAGUAAUCGUAGAUCAGCAUGUCACGGUGAAUACGUUCCCGGGUCUUGUACACACCGCCCGUCACACCAUGGGAGCGGGUUCCGCCAGAAGUAGGUAGCCUAACCGCAAGGGGGGCGCUUACCACGGCGG